GACGAACGCUGGCGGCGUGCUUAACACAUGCAAGUCGAGCGGGUAAGGCCCUUUCGGGGGUACACGAGCGGCGAACGGGUGAGUAACACGUGGGUGACCUGCCCUCAGCGUCUGGGAUAAGCCCGGGAAACUGGGUCUAAUACCGGAUAUGACUUCAUGACGCAUGUUGUGGAGUGGAAAGCCUUGUGCGGCUGAGGAUGGGGCCCGCGGCCUAUCAGCUUGGUUGGGUGGGGUGANGGCCUACCAAGGCGACGACGGGUAGCCGGCCUGAGAGGGCGACCGGCCACACUGGGACUGAGAUACGGGCCCAGACUCCUACGGGAGGCAGCAGUGGGGAAUCUUGCGCAAUGGGCGAAAGCCUGACGCAGCGACGCCGCGUGAGGG
rnacentral:rRNA from 1 species